rnacentral:rRNA from 1 species
AGCAGCCGCGGUAAUUCCAGCUCCAAUAGCGUAUAUUAAAGUUGUUGCAGUUAAAAAGCUCGUAGUUGAAUUUUAGGCCUGACCGGGCGGUCCGUCUCUGGCGAGUACUGUUCUGUUGUCGGGUCUAUCCUUCUGGUGAGCCGGUAUGUCCUUUAUUGGGUGUGUCGGGGAACCAGGACCAUUACCUUAGAAAAAUUAGAGUGUUUAAAGCGGGCUUUUAGCUUGAAUAGAUUAGCAUGGAAUAAUAGGAAUAGGACGUUGGUUCUAUUUUGUUGGUCUAGGACCACCGUAAUGAUUAAUAGGG